UGUAAGCCAGCUGGGGACCCAGACACAUCAGAGGUGACAUCUCAAGGCAGGGGGAGGGUACCAGAGGCAGCCAUGGCAGAGCAUGGGAAGAAUCCCUUGGGGAGCCAUGUCCAGUCUUGCAGAUGCUAAUUAAUCUUGUCAUCAUGUUGUGCCAUUCCUCCUCCUUGGUAGCUCUGUCGGAGCAUUCUGAACAAUCACAGUAAGAGAAAUGCAAUGACAGCCAUGCUUCAUCUCCAGCUGUUUCCUGAGAAGAUGACAGGUAUUCAUGAAGCAUUCCUCACAGUCCUGAUGAGACUGAGGAGCAGAGUCCACUCCUCAAAAGAUCCUGGAGUGUUGACAUGUUCUGAUGGUGUCAGUGAUCUGCCAGGAUUUGGGUAUUUUAUCCAGUGAUGGAUUAGAGGGCAUGAAGCUGUGGGUUUUGGAGCUGGACUCACCAUUUUUAGGGCUCAAGACCCUCAUCAGAGCUGACAACAUGUCCAGCCUGCACUACUGCAAGAACUUCUUUGUCUAUGGUAGUGUGGUCAACUGAAGAAGCCGGCUUAGUUGCUCCAGUCAGGUGCUCACACUAAGAAAGGAUGGGUGAAGGUUAUAAAGUGGCUGUGAAUGAGAACUCGGUCUGGGCUCUACCAAGCAGAGAAGCCAUGCAGAGAUGAGAAAGGUGAAAGCCAUGAAACCAUGUUAAGCAGAAAAAUAAAAAUUCAAAACAGAAUGGGUGUAGCAUUAUAUAGUGUUCUGUGGAGUACCAUGAUCCUUCUUCAUGAAACAACUU
rnacentral:lncRNA from 10 species